UACGUAGGGGGCAAGCGUUGUCCGGAUUUAUUGGGCGUAAAGAGCGUGUAGGCGGCCUGACAGGUCUGCUGUGAAAACUCGAGGCUCAACCUCGAGAUGUCGGCGGAAACCGUCUGGCUAGAGUCCGGAAGAGGAGAGUGGAAUUCCUGGUGUAGCGGUGAAAUGCGCAGAUAUCAGGAAGAACACCUAUGGCGAAGGCAGCGCUCUGGGACGGUACUGACGCUGAGACGCGAAAGCGUGGGGAGCAAACAGG
rnacentral:rRNA from 1 species